AUGGCGACCGGCGCACGGGUGAGUAACACGUAUCCAACCUGCCGAUAACUCGGGGAUAGCCUUUCGAAAGAAAGAUUAAUACCCGAUGGUAUAAUCAGACCGCAUGGUUUGAUUAUUAAAGAAUUUCGGUUAUCGAUGGGGAUGCGUUCCAUUAGGCAGUUGGUGAGGUAACGGCUCACCAAACCUUCGAUGGAUAGGAGUUCUGAGAGGAAGGUCCCCCACAUUGGAACUGAGACACGGUCCAA
rnacentral:rRNA from 1 species